CUGACCCUAAGACCCUAGGACCUAAAAAAGCUAGAAGCAAUCUGCUGUUCUUAACAACAAGAAACACCCCCCUCCUGGAUCUCAUCUCCUUCACCCAACCCAAAGGAUAUUCUUCAUUUGGUGAACCAAGAAAAAAGACUACAAAAAAACAAAAAGACUCUUAGACCUUUCAGCCGAAAAGGACCAAAGAGGGACUCCGCCGACUUCAUCUUCUUCAGCAACCAACACACCCUAAGCAGCAACCUCUCACCAGACCCAUCGCCGAGCCACCCCGCCUCACUGUUCGCCGGAAAAUAGUAGCAGCGGUCACCAGAUCUCUAAAGGCUAAUAGUCGUUGCCCACCCCCUUCUCUUCUCUGAAAAUCCAGUUUUCUUUUUGUGUAAUCUUGAGUAAGUGUAUCAGGGAAUGAAAUAGUUGUGUGUAUUUUCAGAUCCUCUCCCUUCCGUCUUUUAGAAUGAGGGGCAAAUAAUGAGCCGAAAUAUUUCUUGGAUUUGGGAUCCUUCGUUGGCGAUUGCCGAGGAUGAAAUUGCCAGCGACGAUAUAUCCCUUGAGGGAUUUGAGAAGGAGUUUCUGUCGUGUUCCGGUCCAGCUUGAGUUCCGUCGAGGUUCGAUUUGAGAUCGUUGUUCUUUGUUUCCGGUUUGAGGUGUGGAUUUACUUACCGGAGUUUGGGCAUGACAGACACCCUAGGACCAUCCAGUCAGAGUCGCUCAUUCAGGAGUUUACUUAAGGAGAUUUUUUUUAGUUAUUAUGUUUUGAGUCUGUUGUUCUUUUUAUGUCAUCUUUUACCUUCUAAUUUUGUACAGUAAUGUCGAGUCUUUUAGGUGAUGUUAGUUUCUGUCAUAGUCUAGUAAGUUUGUCGAGUUUUUUUUUUGUUAUUGUAUGUCCUAUUUUGCAUUUGAAAAAUGUGUUAUAGAUCAAAAAUUCAAAAAAAAAAAAGAAAUUUUGCAUUUUUA